AGAGUUUGAUCCUGGCUCAGGAUGAACGCUGGCGGCGUGCUUAACACAUGCAAGUCGAACGAAGCACCUUGAUUUGAUUCUUCGGAUGAAGAUCUUGGUGACUGAGUGGCGGACGGGUGAGUAACGCGUGGGUAACCUGCCUCAUACAGGGGGAUAACAGUUAGAAAUGACUGCUAAUACCGCAUAAGACCACAGCACCGCAUGGUGCAGGGGUAAAAACUCCGGUGGUAUGAGAUGGACCCGCGUCUGAUUAGGUAGUUGGUGGGGUAACGGCCUACCAAGCCGACGAUCAGUAGCCGACCUGAGAGGGUGACCGGCCACAUUGGGACUGAGACACGGCCCAAACUCCUACGGGAGGCAGCAGUGGGGAAUAUUGGGCAAUGGGGGGAACCCUGACCCAGCAACGCCGCGUGGAGGAAGAAGGUUUUCGGAUUGUAAACCUCUGUCCUUAGGGAAGAAGGAAGUGACGGUACCUAAGGAGGAAGCCCCGGCUAACUACGUGCCAGCAGCCGCGGUAAUACGUAGGGGGCGAGCGUUGUCCGGAAUGACUGGGCGUAAAGGGCGUGUAGGCGGCCGACUAAGUCUGAUGUGAAAUACCCGCUUUUAAGGUGGGUCGUGCAUUGGAAACUGGAUGGCUAGAGUGCGGAAGAGGUAAGUGGAAUUCCCAGUGUAGCGGUGAAAUGCGUAGAGAUUGGGAGGAACACCAGUGGCGAAGGCGACUUACUGGGCCGCAACUGACGCUGAGGCGCGAAAGCGUGGGGAGCAAACAGGAUUAGAUACCCUGGUAGUCCACGCUGUAAACGAUGAAUGCUAGGUGUAGGGGGUAUCGACCCCUCCUGUGCCGCAGUCAACACAAUAAGCAUUCCGCCUGGGGAGUACGGCCGCAAGGUUGAAACUCAAAGAAAUUGACGGGGGCCCGCACAAGCAGCGGAGCAUGUGGUUUAAUUCGAAGCAACGCGAAGAACCUUACCAAGUCUUGACAUCCCACUGACCGGACAGUAAUGUGUCCUUUCCUUCGGGACAGUGGUGACAGGUGGUGCAUGGUUGUCGUCAGCUCGUGUCGUGAGAUGUUGGGUUAAGUCCCGCAACGAGCGCAACCCCUAUCCUUAGUAGCCAGCAGUAAGAUGGGCACUCUAGGGAGACUGCCAGGGAUAACCUGGAGGAAGGUGGGGAUGACGUCAAAUCAUCAUGCCCCUUAUGACUUGGGCUACACACGUGCUACAAUGGCGUAAACAAAGUGAAGCGAAGUCGUGAGGCCAAGCAAAUCACAAAAAUAACGUCUCAGUUCGGAUUGUAGUCUGCAACUCGACUACAUGAAGCUGGAAUCGCUAGUAAUCGCAGAUCAGAAUGCUGCGGUGAAUACGUUCCCGGGUCUUGUACUCACCGCCCGUCA
rnacentral:rRNA from 1 species